rnacentral:misc_RNA from 1 species
GAACGCAUAUUGCGCUCUUUGGUAUUCCGAAGAGCAUGCUUGUUUGAGUAUCAGUAAACACCUCAAAGCUUUUGAUCUUUUUCAAAAGUUUUGGACUUGAGCAUUCCCAACACCAGUCUUUUUCGGACCGGUGGCGGGUUGCUUGAAAUGCAGGUGCAGCUGGACAUUCUCCUGAGCUAAAAGCAUAUUUAUUUAGUCCCGUCAAACGGAUUAUUACUUUUGCUGCAGCUAAUAUAAAGGGAGUUUGACCGUAUUGGCUGACUGAUGCAGGAUUUCACAAGGGUCGGAAACGAUUUUUGUAAAACUCGAUCUCAAAUCAAGUAAGAGUACCCGCGGAACUUA